AAUGGGCGAAAGCCUGAUCCAGCAAUACCGCGUGAGUGAUGAAGGCCUUAGGGUUGUAAAGCUCUUUUAGCAGGGAAGAUAAUGACGGUACCUGCAGAAAAAGCCCCGGCUAACUCCGUGCCAGCAGCCGCGGUAAGACGGAGGGGGCUAGCGUUGUUCGGAAUUACUGGGCGUAAAGAGCGCGUAGGCGGUUUGGCAAGUUGGAAGUGAAAGCCCGGGGCUUAACCUCGGAACUGCUUUCAAAACUGCUAAGCUAGAGUAUGGUAGGGGGUGAUGGAAUUCCUAGUGUAGAGGUGAAAUUCUUAGAUAUUAGGAGGAACACCGGUGGCGAAGGCGGUCACCUGGGCCAUUACUGACGCUGAGGCGCGAAAGCGUGGGGAGCAAA
rnacentral:rRNA from 1 species